rnacentral:rRNA from 1 species
GACGAACGCUGGCGGCGUGCCUAAUACAUGCAAGUUGAGCGCUGAAGGUUGGUACUUGUACCAACUGGAUGAGCAGCGAACGGGUGAGUAACGCGUGGGGAAUCUGCCUUUGAGCGGGGGACAACAUUUGGAAGCGAAUGCUAAUACCGCAUAAAAACUUUAAACACAAGUUUUAAGAUUGAAAGAUGCAAUUGCAUCACUCAAAGAUGAUCCCGCGUUGUAUUAGCUAGUUGGUGAGGUAAAGGCUCACCAAGGCGAUGAUACAUAGCCGACCUGAGAGGGUGAUCGGCCACAUUGGGACUGAGACAAGGCCCAAACUCCUACGGGAGGCAGCAGUAGGGAAUCUUCGGCAAUGGACGAAAGUCUGACCGAGCAACGCCGCGUGAGUGAAGAAGGUUUUCGGAUCGUAAAACUCUGUUGGUAGAGAAGAACGUUGGUGAGAGUGGAAAGCUCAUCAAGUGACGGUAACUACCCAGAAAGGGACGGCUAACUACGUG